UUCUAAACCAGCGUUGCUUAGGACAUAAUUGCAAAGAGGCAGAACGAGCCGAGCACAACGACAUAACAUAACGUCAACACACACUCAGGUGGAUGACUCCAAAGGAGGACUGAGCAUUUUCUUCCACUCAAAGCAACACAGCAGACCAUGGGUUGUAACACCAGCCGAGGGGCCACGGUGACAGAUCCCUCUGAAAAGCCUGAGGAAAGGCCCAAGACGUCCACAUCCACCCAGGAGACAUCUGCAGAAGAAUCCACUGAAGCGGCAGACAAAGAAAAGGCAGACAUUCUAACAGUUGCAGCAGAGUUCCACCAAGUCCUUAAGUCUUAACGUCUCUGUCUACAAGAAGGGUCGCCACAGAGGAUCCACUUCCUCCAUCUCACCCCAUCCUCUGCCUCCUCUGUUUUACACCAACUAUCUCCAUGUCCUCUGUCACGACAUCUGACAAUGUCAUCUACAACAUCCUUUGUCCAAUAUAUACACCAUGUCAACGUGGCCACUGACUUUAUCUCCAAACUGCUCCAUCUUAACCGUCCCACAGCUCAUUUCUAAUCCCGUCCAUCCUGGUCACAUCCUGGUGAAAAUCUCAGCCUCUUCAUCACCUACAACCUCUAUCUCCUAGGCGUACAUCAUAGCAGGUCUCACUCCUGUCUUAUAAACCAUCGCUUUCAACUUUGCUGCUGUUCUUCUGUCACAAAUCACCACUGACACAGUCUCCAUGCGUCCACCCUGCCUGCACCUUUUUCUUCACCUCCUGCACCUUUUGUCCACUGUCCAUUACUCCUGAUGUUUGACCCCGGUAUUUGAACUCAUCCACCUUCAUCGUUCCACUCGCUUCACUCUCCUUUACACACGUGUAUUUUGUCCUGCACCUGCUGACCUACAUUCCUCUUCUCUCCACCUGCUCCCUACUGCUGCCAUGGAUGACAUCAUCAUCUGCAAACAUCAUGGUCCACGAAGCCUCCUGCCUGAUGUCAUCUGUCAAGCUGUCAAUCAACAUAGCAAACGAAAUAGGGCUCAGAGCUGAUCUGACCCAUACCUUGAACCCAUGGGUCACUCAGACAGCACACCUAGCUAAUGUCCUGCUUGACCCUCAAAAAAAGGUCAAAAUGUCUGCUGUACUCUGUCCUUAACAUAUCCAUACCUCCACAGGUGUGUCAUCUCUCCAUUUGUCCUUAUUUCUGAUCUGAAGCCACACCUAACAGCUUCCUUCCAGUUUCCCUCACCAUCUCAGCAGUCCUUUUCUUUCCAGUCUUCUGGUAGAACAUCUCCAUCCCCAAGACAACUCCACUCUAAUCUCUCACCAAUACACCUCUUUUCUUAGUUUCUACCUUCACCUUACACACAGCCAUGCGGUGCUGCUCUGCUACACUUCCCCCUGACACCACCUUACAAUCAUCAACCUUUUUGUAGACUGAAUAAUACUGUUGAGGACGACGACUGAAGAGGUGAAAGCAAACCCUAACCCAUUCUGCAGCCACUGUUAAGGUGAAGAUUAGUGACUAAAAUCCACAAACUCUAUGAUGAAAGUACACUGUUGUUACAUAUUUUUGAUAGGAUUCCAGAUCAAGCUCUGCAAUUUGGUAUUUUUUCAUAUUAAUAAUUCCAUCAUUCGGAUUAGUCACAAAUAAAAUUCACAUUCUCAACAACC